CCUCUCCUUUCCCUCUGAUAAUGCUUUUGUGACCUACGGGCCCCACUUACGUCAAGACAUAACGGUGUGAUGCUAACCCAAACACCCAUAUGAAUGCAUGUCUAAUAUUUUCAGAACUGCCUCUAAGAUGAAGAAGAAGCAACUUCAAUUUUUACUUACUUAUACUGAGGGUAGGCCCUACUCAUCUGGGGUUGAAGGCAGAAUGUGUCCAGCUGGCAUUGAUGGCGUUGCAAACCAUUAUAGAACAUUGCUAUAGCAGGAGAUAAAUUCAGCUCUUCAUACAAAUUAUUAGUGAUGAAACUUCCAUGUUAACAUCGAAAAAUAAUAUUGAAUCAAUGCUGAAAGCGAUAAGCAAUGGCACAGAAAGAUGAGUGACAUCAUUAUAAGAGCCAAAGAUUCAACCAGCAAUUCCUUGAUAUUCAUUCACCUAUAACUCAGUAAAGGAUUCAGCCACCCUCAAUUAAGAAUGAGAGGUCAUAUUGAUGGUGCAAGUGUGUUCACAAGUUUUUAACUUUAAUACAUCACAAUUGUAUACAAAAA